rnacentral:rRNA from 1 species
CCCAGACUCCUACGGGAGGCAGCAGUGGGGGAUAUUGGACAAUGGGGGAAACCCUGAUCCAGCGACGCCGCGUGAGUGAAGAAGUAUUUCGGUAUGUAAAGCUCUGUCAGCAGGGAAGAAAGAAAUGACGGUACCUGACCAAGAAGCCCCGGCUAACUACGUGCCAGCAGCCGCGGUAAUACGUAGGGGGCAAGCGUUAUCCGGAAUUACUGGGUGUAAAGGGAGCGUAGACGGUGAUGCAAGUCUGGAGUGAAAGGCGGGGGCCCAACCCCCGGACUGCUCUGGAAACUGUGUAACUGGAGUGCAGGAGAGGUAAGUGGAAUUCCUAGUGUAGCGGUGAAAUGCGUAGAUAUUAGGAGGAACACCAGUGGCGAAGGCGGCUUACUGGACUGUAACUGACGUUGAGGCUCGAAAGCGUGGGGAGCAAACAGGAUUAGAUACCCGUACA